UCAACAUGAGAAGUUUCACAAUUUUUAUUAUUUAUUUGAAUCAUGAGAUAUUCGUAAUAUUCAUCAGAAUGUACACGUACUUCACUCUUGUGACCACACAUACGACUUGUUUGCCCACAUAUUAACCACUGAAUAGACCAACAAAGGCAGCUGGCGCAUUCUCUAGCCCAAUGCUCGUGUACCCGGCGUCACCCACACACACGAAAGGUGUAGGGCUGGAGCCUCGCACAGAACAAGAAUUUGUGCGGGAAGUAGAAGGCCACCACGAACCCAGAGAUGAACCCAGCCGACGCCCCGAUGAUGGACGCGUCGUUGAUCCUGUGCAGUACCUUCUGAAUCCGGACAAGCAUCUCCCGAAUCCGGACAAGCCGAACGCGUAUCCGCACCCUGAACCUCUUCUUGCACUUCUUGUCGAGCGGCGCCCCGCAAAGCCCUGGGUUGCCCGUGAAGUUGGCAGCCGGGAAGCGCUGCAGAGAGUCCGGGACAGGGCCCGACAGUGAGUUAUCGGCGACAUUGAACGAAAUGAGCUGCGAAGUGUUGCACAGCUGCGCCGGAAUUCCGCCGGCGAACUGGUUGUGCUGAAGUGUAUAGGAUAAUCUUCCAUAAAAAUAAUAGGUUAACCCUAUUGAAAAUUUGAAAUUUCACACGAAGUGUAUAGUACCUAAUUCUUAGCAUACAUAAUUUGAAAUAUCAUUCUUCAUAAAUCAAUAUUCCUUUCACGUACAUUUCACCAAAACAAUUUGAAUACCUUGAGCCGUGUGUCGCCUAUAAAUGGUAGGACAUGUCGCAACUUGCAUACGGUGUUAAAAAUAAUUCAAAUCUAACAUGGACGCCUAGCAUGGGCAUGCCCACCUUCCGACAAAAUUUAGGGUCGUUCAAGGAUGUCCAAAACUAACCAUGUUCAAUGGAGGGUGUUAGGGUAGCCCAGAAAGAUUCGCUUGAGAGCACAUUAUUUCUCGACAAGCUUGAAAUGGCCCCAAUUUUUUGCAUGGCCUUAUAUCACCAAUUCAAGGCACCACGUCAAGUUGUUUCGUUUUUCCACAAAUUUUGCAUUUUUUGAAGUUUUCUCGAUAGAAAAAGGUCGACAAAUAACUGGACGCGUCAUAACUUGCAUAUGGUGUCGAAAGUCAUUCAAACCAGGCAUGGAUGCCUAUCGUGGGUAUGUCCACCUGUUUGCAAAGUUGAGGUAAUUUUAAGGAUGUCCAAAAAUAGACCAUGUGCAACGAAGGGUGUUCGAGUAGGGUGAGAAGGGUCCUUUUGAAAGCACGUUGGUUUUCGACAUCUGUCGAAUGGCUCCAAUUUUUUUCCACCAGCUUCUAUGAUAAAUUCAAGGCAUCGUGCCAAAUUGUUUGUAUUUUUAACAACUUUUGCAUUAUUAGAGUUUUCUUGAUGAGAAGGGCUGAUAAAUGGGUGGACGUGUCACAACGUCCAAAUAGUGUCGGAAGUUGUUCAAAUAUGGCAUGGAUGUUUCAUAUAUCCAUGUCAGGCUGUUGCAAGAAGUUGGGGCCAUUCAUCAAUAGAAAAAAAAACACCUAUUGAGAAGAGUGUGCUAGACUAGGCCAAACGGGUGCAUACGGGAGCAUGCAGUUUCUCAUUAAGAAUGCCUCAGUUAUUUCCAUUUUUUGGUAUUACCAAUCAACAUGAACAUUCUCCUAUAUCCUAACAAUCUAUUGAAAUUAGUGAACAAUUAUGGAAUUUCAAAUUGUGUAUGAAAAUUUUAUAAACUUGAACACUUUUUCUAAAAUUGUGGACAAAUUCCCAACAAUUGACAUUAUCCACAAAUUGCAAAAAAUUCUUAAAUUUGUGAACAAAAAAUGUAAAUAUGAACAUUUUUUAAUUUCAGAAUAUUUUUAAAAAUUGUGAACAAUGUUUGAAAAUAUGAACAUUUUUGGCACUACAAAAAUAUUUCAAAUUUUUAGAUAAGUUUCAAAAAGGAGAAAAACGAAUUUUGGAAAAAACUAAAAACUAAAAAUAGAAAAGUAAAAAGAAUCUUAGGCUUUAGCCCAACUAGGCAAUGGCAUCUCUCCUGUCGGGUGCCUGUUGGGCCUGCCCAAGCAAUAAUAGAUUUGAAAAAAAUCAUGAAUUUAAAAAACAGAUGUUCAUGAUUUUGAAAAAAAAAAUCCCAGGCAUUGGAAAAAGUUCAUAAAGUUGAAAUUAGUUCUUGGAUGUGUAAAAACGUUCACAGAUUUGAAAACAAAGUUCACAAUAUUAAACAUAAUAUUUCCGAAUUUCAAAAGUUCAUGGAUUUGACAAAAGGUUCACGAUUUAAAAACAGUUCGUGCUUUUUUAAAAUAGAAUUAAGAUCAAAAUAAAAUUGAAAAAUAAAAAGGAAAAUGGGACAAGCAAAAGCCCCCAAAAAUGAAAACCACAAAUUUUAAAAAUUGUUCAUUUUUCGAAAGAUGUUCGGAAUUUGGUUUGUGUUUCGAAAAAAAAUUCACUUUCAAAAUAAAAUUGCUCAAAUUUGGUUCUCAAAUUCCAGAACUAUUCGGCAUUUUAAAUUUGUUUGCAUUUUUUAAUAAAAGUUUCAGAUUUUUUCAGAAAAUAUUUCAUAUAUAUGUACGCUACUGUGUUUUCUUAUAUAUUUCUCGCUAGAACUUAACACCAGCAGUGGUUGGUUGUAGUGGCUACCGGCAUGUGUUGUUUGGUCGGAGGUCUUGAUUUCAAAUCCUCAUAAUCUCUCCCUUUUCCUUGUAUUUUUAGGUUGCGCUUAUAUUGAACGCGGUAGCUUAAUGGGUCGGCCCAGCACCUGUGCAAUUUGUAUAAAAUAGACUACACAACGUUUUUCCUGUUAAUUUCCGAAGUCUUGUAGACGCUAGCACAUUGCACCAAGGCGACGGAAACACGGUCGCGGCCGGCCUGCCGGCCGGGCAAGCAAGUCAAGGUCAGGAGGUUACGUACCAAGGGAAUUAGUGUUGUAUUGUCUUGGAAAGUCUAGGUUUGGGUAGUUAACUACGUUAGGAGUUCAAUCAUAUUGUGCAAGGUGAUCUUUCUUAUAAAAACAUGAAAGAAAAUUGGGGGAUCGGGGGAGCAACCAUGUUUUUAUAAGAAACAUUGGUAGAGCAUAGACACACACAGCGUCAAUUAAAGAUUAGACUUAUGAAGCUUGAAGAUUGAAGAAGUCAUCACAUGUGUCUCGCUAUCGUCAGAAAAGUUGAUUCCUGCUGAAAAAAAUACGUGGAGUAACACAAACAACUUGUCAGCCAAAUCUUGCAGCUUAUACGUCCAGCGUCACCUGAUCAAAACUUGCGUAAAGAAUACUUGAUCACUCUACUUGGAAAAAGAAUAAAUAAUUUACUCAGAAAACUCACCAGUUGAUCGAUCCAAAGCAGAAGCAGCUACCUGCAAUAGUUGAAAGGGCACAACUCUUAAAGGGACAACUCCUCCACUGGAAGUCUGGAACAGAGACCUUUUCUUCAGCCAAUUAAUUCCUUGGGUCGGCUGGUGGUACUUGGCAGCAUGGCGCUGAGGUGUAUCAGUGACGACCGCGACGUGCUCAGUUGUUUGCGUGCAGGAAGGAGGUGCUGUUGGGCGCGGUGAUGGCGUCGACGAUAGCUAGACCGAGCAAGGUUGAUGCAUCACUGCAGUUCUGAAGAUGGAGCGGUGGCAGUUGGCGGCGGCGGCCUCUGAGAGCACGCCGGACCAGUGUGUGCCCCAGACCCGGCAAGUGGCUAGGUUGGGGUCUCAGGUCUUAGAUAUUAGGCUUGGCUGCGAUGUCUGUUUGGUAUUAGGCCCAGGCUAUCUGCGUCCCUUUAUCUACUGGAUAGGUGUAGCGACAGUUUGUUGCUUAGACGGCGGCUUUAGUUUGACUGUUGUAUGACUUUGUAAGCUCGAGAAUAAUUAAUAAAGUGGUCGUAUGCAUCGCCCAGAGGCAGAGGCCGGGGGUCAUCCUCCUUUUCUAAAAAAAAUUAAUUUCUUGGGUCCUACUGAAUGGGAGAGUAGCUAGCACAAGGAAGAAAGAUUGACCAGCUCACGAUCCCACCAUAAUCAAGUAAGCAGUCAACGAAACUCGACACCAAAGAGAAAAUAGUGGUAGAACUUUCUGCGCUGAUGCAUCACAUCACCGAUUCAUGAUGCUAGAAAAACUAAGACAUAUGAGAGAGACAUCUACAAGUUUGUCAAGAGCAAAGACAGUGCUUCUCCUGGUCCUAGUAGGCACUUGGAUUAAUUCAGGAUCAAACCACGACUUGUUAAUUACAGUUUGAAAAACACUUGAUAUUGGGUAAAGCAUGGACAAGAUCAGCUAAAUGCACAUCAACAUGAGAAGUUUCACAAUCAUUAUUAUUUAUUUGGAUCAUGAGAUAUUCGUAAUAUUCCUCAGAAUGUAGACGUACUUCACUCUUGUGACCACACACACGACUUGUUUGCCCACAUAUUUACCACUGAAUAGACCAACAAAGGCAGCUGGCGCAUUCUCUAGCCCAAUGCUUGUGUACCCGCUGUCACCCACAAACACGUAAGGUGUAGGGCUGGAGCCUCCCACAAAACAAGAACUUGUGCGGGAAGUAGGGGCGUGUUUGGUUGCCCGCAUGCAGCCCAACCAGGCCCGCACGGGAUGUGCGCGGCCUGUUUGGUUGGCUGGGCUGCAUGCGGUUCGAGGCCUGCACGAACCUCAAAGCAGCCCGCAGCCUGGCCCGGCGGGAACUGCCGAAUCGGCAGUUUCUCGCGAGCCUGGCCGGGCGCGGCCGCGCGUGCGGGGCAGUUGCACGCCUCGGGCAGAGCGGGAGACGGAGGUGAUGUCUCAUUACUCGCCCCCACUCUCCUGUCACCGCCCAGGCGCACUGUUCCCACCGCUCCCUCUCUCUCCCUCACCGCCCCUCUCUCUCCUCUCCUCUGCUCCGAUGGCUCCGCCACGUCCACCGCCGCGCCGCCCUCUGACCCCGGUUGACCAGCGCGCGUCCAGCAUCCAGGAGCGCUGGCUGGCCGGGCUGCAGAACUCGGGCCGCGACCUGGCCUCGGCGCUGCGGGCGCUGUCCCCCAUCUGCUGCCGGCCUCCACGAGCGCCGGCGCCGGCCAAUGCGGUGCCGGCCGCUCCUGCUCCGCCGCCGAUUCCGGACCUCGUGGUCCUGGGCUCGGCGCCGGUGCCAUCGACGGAGCCGCCCCUUGUUGGGACACCAUUGGCCUCGGGGGUUUUCUUGACCCCCGUCCGAGGGUUUUCUCCGGUCGGCGGGCCGUCCUUCUCGACCUCCGGCGUGGCGUUCAACACGGGGCCGAUGCCGCAGGCCGUCGCCGGGGCCGGCUCGUCCUCUGCUCCGCCACCUCUAUCGUUCCCGUCGGGGUUUUCACCCCGGCCUCAGUUCGCCGCGGCUGCGCGUGCUCCGGUGAGUCAAAUCCCCAACAAUCUUGCUCCUAGAUGUAGAUUAGUGGUUAAUUCUUAGGCAUGUGCUAGGAUUGAUAGCAUUCUAGCAGAUCCGAUUGGAUGCGAUCCCAAUCGAAUCCAAUCAGACUGAUCUGUUCUUGUUUUGUACAGUGCGUGUGCUACUGCUUGUGUUCAUGCUAGAAUGCUAGUAGCUAUGUUACAUGCUAGAUUCAUGUUAAUGCUAGAUUCAUGUUCAUUCUAGCGCGAGUGCUACUACAUGCUAGAUUUGUGCUACAUGCUAGUAGUUGUGUUCAUGCUAGAAUCAUGUUCAUGUUGAGUGAUGAAUGCUAGAAUCAUGUUGACUGAUGGCAUGCUCAUGUUAGGAUCAUGUCCUUGUUUCAUGUUGCAUGUUGAAGCUAGGGUUUGUGCCAUGAGUGGAUGUUAUACGUGCAUGUAGUAGGAUGGUCCCAAAUCUGCAUGGCUGCACAUGGGUGCUAUUGGCACUUGCUGUUGCUAUUUUUAGAUGUUUCCUUAUUUAGGAUAGUGCAGUGAUCAAUGCUAGUUGCAGCAAAGAAGAUGCCACUGAUCAGUGACUUGCCCAACAACAAGGGUCAUAGGCAAAUGCCACUUAUCAAUGGCACUUGCUGUCGGGCAAAAUGACACUUAUCAAUGGCACUUGCUAUUGGGCAAGUCACUGAUCAUUGUCAUUGAUCAGUGCCAUUUGCACUACAGCAAGUAGAUUAGUGCUCUUGGCCAACACCAAGUGCCACUAAACAUUGCCAUUUGGCCAUGAGCACAUGCCACUGAUCAGUGGCACUUGCUGUUGGGAAAGUCCACUUAUCAGUGGCACUUGCUGUUGGGCAAGUCCACUGAUCAGUGGCAUUUGCUUGCUUGCUUGCUUGCUUUGUUUGAUACUAAUACUUGUCAUGUUGCCUAACAAGAUACUGAAGUCUGACUGGGAUGUGGCGGGUGGAGGAGCUUAGGUCGUGGCCGGAGCUGAGCGCGCCGAGGAUUUCAUCCCCACGAACAGGUGGCUCAGGACGGUGGACCUGCCUGGCAGGAUCGCCAUCAUGAGCGUGCCUCGUUCAAGGGGACGAUCUCCGAGGAAGGGCCACGAGGAGGGGGCCAGGGAGCCGAUGAGAUUCUACGCACAGAUCAAGGACAACGAGGACCUCGCCAUGCUCGUCGUCCCUCCCAAGUUCAUGGAGGUGAUGAACACCUGGAUGGUCAUCAAGCGACUCCCGCGCAUGGUCAGGCUCUCAGCCAACAAGAGGUGCGUGUUCUGGGUGCAGGUCCAGAACUUCGAGGGCCAGAUGGUGCUUGGCCAGGGGUGGAACUACUUCUGCCGCCGCCACAUGAUCGUCCCUGGCGACCUCGUCGUUGUGCGCAUCUCUGGACUCGGACUGAAGGUUCAGAUCUACAACCAUGACUCGUCGGUGAUGUGCAGGUACCGUUGCAGCAGGCACAACUGCCUUGGUGGCAUCGAGCAGGCUAUGUAGUUAAGUUAAGUCAGGUGUUAGUGGAGAACUUUUAAUCUAGACUUAUGCUAUCUAGUUAGGGUGUGUGGCGAGACUUGUGCUGGGAACAUGUUCAUAUUUUGGCCAGGUGGAACACCUUGGCACAACAGGGAAGGAGGAUGCCCCUGCUCUUAAUCUAGACUAUGCUAUUUAGUUAAGUAGUUUGCUGUCAUUACAUUGCUUGCUUUGUUUGAUCUUGAUGUUGUGAUGUUGCUGUUGUGCUGAUCAUGUGUGGUCGUAAGGCCACCACAUUUGACUGGGGUGAGCAGAACACAAAUGUUGUUUGCAACCAAACAGCUGAAGUUUGCAUCUGCUCACACCCUAAGCACAAAUGCGGGCAACCAAACAGCAGGGGGUAAGUGCCUCUCAAUGCGAUGCAGGCAACCAAACAGGUUGGAUCUGCUGCAUAUGAGGCUGUAUUUCAGCAACUAGGCUGGGUUGAGAUGGACAUGCAAUGCAGGGACUAUUCCAAACUGCAACCAAACACACCCUAGAAGGCCACCACGAACCGAAAGAUGAACCCAGCCGACGCCCCGAUGAUGGACGCGUCGUUGAUCCUGUGCAAUAGCUUCCGAAUCCGGACGAACAUCUCCCGGAUCAGGACAAGCCGAACAUGUAUCCGCACCAUAAACCUCUUCUUGCACCUGUUGUCCAGUGGCACCCCGCGGAGCCCCGGAUAGCCCGUGAAGUUGGCUUGUGGGAAGCGCUGCAGAGAGUCUGCGACAGGACCUGAUAGUGACUUGUCGGCGACAUUGAACGAAAUGAGCCGCGAAGUGUUGCCCAGCUGCGCCGGAAUUCCGCCAUCGAACUGGUUGUGCUGAAGGGCGAGGGUGCUCAGGUACGUCAUGUUCCCA
rnacentral:lncRNA from 1 species